rnacentral:rRNA from 1 species
UACGUAGGUGGCAAGCGUUGUCCGGAUUUAUUGGGUUUAAAGGGUGCGUAGGCGGUUGUAUAAGUCAGUGCUGAAAUAUCCCAGCUUAACUGGGAGGGUGGCAUUGAUACUGUAUGACUUGAGUAGAGUUGAGGUUGGCGGAAUUGACGGUGUAGCGGUGAAAUGCUUAGAUAUCGUCAAGAACACCGAUAGUGAAGACAGCUAACUAAGCUCUAACUGACGCUGAGGCACAAAAGUGUGGGGAUCAAACAGG